UCAAACACCAGUCCCCCAGACGAUCACCAAAGUUAAGCAAUGUUGAGCCUGGUAAGUAUCUAAAUGGGUGACCACUUGGGAAUAUCUGGUGCUGUAAG